rnacentral:rRNA from 1 species
UGGGGAAUAUUGCACAAUGGGCGGAAGCCUGAUGCAGCAACGCCGCGUGAGUGAUGAAGGCCUUCGGGUUGUAAAGCUCUGUCUUUUGGGACGAUAAUGACAGUACCAAAGGAGGAAGCCACGGCUAACUACGUGCCAGCAGCCGCGGUAAUACGUAGGUGGCAAGCGUUGUCCGGAUUUACUGGGCGUAAAGGAUGCGUAGGCGGAUUUUUAAGUGAGAUGUGAAAUACCCGGCUUAACUUGGGUGCUGCAUUUCAAACUGGAAUCUAGAGUGCGGGAGAGGAGAAUGGAAUUCCUAGUGUAGCGGUGAAAUGCGUAGAGAUUAGGAAGAACACCAGUGGCGAAGGCGAUUCU